rnacentral:rRNA from 1 species
UACGUAGGGUGCGAGCGUUGUCCGGAAUUAUUGGGCGUAAAGGGCUCGUAGGCGGUCUGUCACGUCGAAAGUGAAAACUCAGGGCUUAACCCUGAGCCUGCUUCCGAUACGGGCAGACUAGAGGUAUGCAGGGGAGAAUGGAAUUCCUGGUGUAGCGGUGAAAUGCGCAGAUAUCAGGAGGAACACCGGUGGCGAAGGCGGGUCUCUGGGCCGAUACUGACGCUGAGGAGCGAAAGCGUGGGGAGCGAACAGG